rnacentral:rRNA from 1 species
AACGAACGCUGGCGGCAGGCUUAACACAUGCAAGUCGAGCGCCCCGCAAGGGGAGUGGCAGACGGGUGAGUAACGCGUGGGAACAUACCCUUUCCUGCGGAAUAGCUCUGGGAAACUGGAAUUAAUACCGCAUACGCCCUACGGGGGAAAGAUUUAUCGGGGAAGGAUUGGCCCGCGUUGGAUUAGCUAGUUGGUGGGGUAAAGGCCUACCAAGGCGACGAUCCAUAGCUGGUCUGAGAGGAUGAUCAGCCACAUUGGGACUGAGACACGGCCCAAACGCCGACGGGAGGCAGCAGUGGGGAAUAUUGGACAAUGGGCGCAAGCCUGAUCCAGCCAUGCCGCGUGAGUGAUGAAGGCCUUAGGGUUGUAAAGCUCUUUCACCGAUGAAGAUAAUGACGGUAGUCGGAGAAGAGGCCCCGGCUAACUUCGUGCCAGCCGCCGCUGUAAAAC